ACAGCAGCACCGCGGGAAUACGGAGGGUGCAAGCGUUAAUCGGAAUUACUGGGCGUAAAGCGCACGCAGGCGGUCUGACAAGUCAGAUGUGAAAUCCCCGGGCUUAACCUGGGAACUGCAUUUGAAACUGUCAGGCUGGAGUCUUGUAGAGGGGGGUGGAAUUCCAGGUGUAGCGGUGAAAUGCGUAGAGAUCUGGAGGAAUACCGGUGGCGAAGGCGGCCCCCUGGACAAAGACUGACGCUCAGGUGCGAAAGCGUGGGGAGCAAACAGGAUUAGAUACCCGGUAGUCCCUGUCUCUUAUACAC
rnacentral:rRNA from 1 species